rnacentral:rRNA from 1 species
UACGUAGGGGGCAAGCGUUGUCCGGAGUUACUGGGCGUAAAGCGCCUGCAGGCGGUCCAUUAAGUUCAGGGUGACAGUCAUCAGCUUAACUGGUGAAGUACUUUGAAAACUGGUGGACUUGAGAGCGAGAGAGGGACAUGGAACUCCGGGUGGAGCAGUGAAAUGCGUAGAGAUCCGGAAGAACACCAAAGGCGAAGGCAGUGUCCUGGCUCGUGUCUGACGCUCAGGGGCGAAAGCGAGGGGAGCGAACGGG